UUAUUAAAUUCUAAACGUUUUGACCCACUUCGGGUCUUCUUCAGUAGAAUCCUCAAAACAAAUUAUGUGCGGAUUCGAUAAAGGAGCGAAUACUAAUGUAGUAUAUAAAAUCAACUGUAAAAAUUGUGAUGUUUCAUAUGUAGGUCAGACUAGCAGAAAAUUGAAUACUAGGAUAUUGGAGCAUAAAAAAAUAUCAAUAGAAAUUGUUUUAAUAAGUCAGUUGUUACUGAUCAUAGAAUUGAGUUCUGAUUUUGACAUUCCAUGAUUUUGACUGGGAUGAAGUAAAAAUUUUAGAUAAAGAACCGUAUUAUAAUAAUAGAUUAAUAUCGGAAAUGUUAUAUAUAAAAAGACAAUCUAAUGAAUUGAAUCUACAAAAUGACACUGAAUAUUUACUGGUAUAUAAUAACAUUUUAGAGUCUCUACCAAAAUCAUCAGGGCCAAAAAACAAGCCUUGAUAUACAGGGGUUAAACACUGAGUUACUGUCUCGUUUGAUAUCUGAGAGCCGUGAUGGUUAGACGUUUUGUUUUGUCUUUACUUGAAACAUCUAAAAAAAUGUCAGACCUGAUACUUGAAACAUCUAUAUAAAAAAUCACCAAUUUGUUGGAAUAUUGUUUAUAUAGAUCUCAAUCAAAUACUUAACAUUAUUACAUCAUGAAAAUUGAAUCAAGAUAUUUUCUUUGACCAUUAAAGGGUAAUACUUAUAAAUAAUUGUAUUGUACGGUCGCUUGAACUCAGUAUGUAUCAGCAUUACUGGUGUUAUACUCGAUAACUUUUUUAACAACAUAUGUAACGAGAUCAAUAACUGUUUUGAUAUUUAUAUGUUUUCUUGACAUUGUCAAUAACCGUUUUUAAUAUUUAAUGUUACAAUCUCUUUUUAAAUUUAAUUUGUAAGGUUCAAUUUAUAAUUAAAAAUCUAUGUAUUGCGCUGAAAAAGGCUUAAAAUGUCAGCCGAAAUGUUCGCAAAUGAUGACUUUUUAUGUAAUUACUAUUUGGUUUAAAUGAAUUUUCUUAAUAUCAA